rnacentral:rRNA from 1 species
GAUGAACGCUGGCGGCGUGCAUAAUACGUGUAAGUCGGACGGAGUUUGUAGCAAUACGAACUUAGUGGCGAACGGGUGAGUAACGCGUGGGUGACCUGCCCCGAAGACUGGGAUAACAGAUCGAAAGGUCUGCUAAUACCGGAUGAGCUCUGCGGAGUUAGAGGACUGCAGAGGAAAGCAGCGAUGCGCUUUGGGACGGACCUGCGUCCCAUCAGCUAGUUGGUGAGGUAGAGGCUCACCAAGGCGACGACGGGUAGGGGGCCUGAGAGGGUGGCCCCCCACACUGGCACUGAAACACGGGCCAGACACCUACGGGUGGCAGCAGUAGGGAAUAUUGCACAAUGGGCGAAAGCCUGAUGCAGCAACGCCGCGUGUGCGAAGAAGGCCUUCGGGUCGUAAAGCACUUUUUGAGGGGAUGAGGAAGGACAGUACCCUCAGAAUAAGGAUCGGCUAACUACGUGCCAGCAGCCGCCGUAAUAC